AGUGAACGCUGGCGGCGUGCUUAACACAUGCAAGUCGAACGAGAACGGAAUAUAGCUUGCUAUAUUUGUCGGCUAAGUGGCGCACGGGUGAGUAAUGUAUAGAUAACCCGCCCUUAAGAAAGGAAUAACAGUUGGAAACGACUGCUAAUGCCCUAUAUGCCUUUAAUACAUAAGUAUGCAAGGGAAACGCUUUAGUGCUUAAGGAUGGGUCUGUAUGGUAUCAGCUUGUUGGUGAGGUAAUGGCUCACCAAGGCUAUGACGCCUAACUGGUUUGAGAGGAUGAUCAGUCACACUGGAACUGAGACACGGUCCAGACUCCUACGGGAGGCAGCAGUGGGGAAUAUUGCACAAUGGACGAAAGUCUGAUGCAGCAACGCCGCGUGGAGGAUGACACAUUUCGGUGCGUAAACUCCUUUUAUAUAGGAAGAUAAUGACGGUACUAUAUGAAUAAGCACCGGCUAACUCCGUGCCAGCCGCCGCCGUAAUAC
rnacentral:rRNA from 1 species